GCCCGGGUAGUUUAGUGGUAAAACGUCCCCUUGGUAAGGGGAUGAGUGCGGGUUCGAUUCCCGCCCUGGGCU
rnacentral:tRNA from 1 species